rnacentral:rRNA from 1 species
AUGCACAGGGUUUGCCGGUUUGGACUCCACACUGCCUCCAUACAUGCAUCAGGGCAAGAUUUCAUGCAAACACUCCCUAUCAUUUCCCCUCUUCCAUGGCUUCUUGCAAUCUAUAUAUCAAGAGAGAACCAAAAGAUUGGGUGCUUCCAUGCAAAAACUGUUAUCCAGGAACAUCGACAAUCUUCCGUCGCUGUGAAUGCAGACAAACGGACGAGACAGAAAACCGUCUUCGAGUAUCAAGACUUGGUGCUAAUAGAGACGGAAAAUCAACACGCCAAACAACCAAGAGAUACCAUGGUUUAUAAUCAAUGUUACAUUCGUUCGGGUUUCCAAACACUCUGA